UUCAGCAGACGGCAUGUUGGGGAGCACUGUCAGAGCCGACAGCACCAGAAUCGGCUCAAAAAUUGAUGUUGAUAGUAUGUCAGGUUCUCUCAUCGGUGCAGAUAUAGUUGCCCGACCCUUCUUCGGUGGUCGGGAGGGCCCAGCUUUGGAUACUGUUGCCCUCUUCUUAACAGCAUGCUGACGAAUAUCGACAAUCGAUACUCGCAUCCUUGACUGCAUAGCUAC
rnacentral:lncRNA from 1 species